rnacentral:rRNA from 1 species
CAGCCGCCGCGGUAAUACAGAGGGUGCGAGCGUUAAUCGGAUUUACUGGGCGUAAAGCGUGCGUAGGCGGCUUUUUAAGUCGGAUGUGAAAUCCCUGAGCUUAACUUAGGAAUUGCAUUCGAUACUGGGAAGCUAGAGUAUGGGAGAGGAUGGUAGAAUUCCAGGUGUAGCGGUGAAAUGCGUAGAGAUCUGGAGGAAUACCGAUGGCGAAGGCAGCCAUCUGGCCUAAUACUGACGCUGAUGUACGAAAGCAUGGGGAGCAAACAGGAUUAGAUACCCCGGUAGUCCCUGUCUCUUAUAC